rnacentral:rRNA from 1 species
GUUCGGUGACUGCGUACCUUUUGUAUAAUGGGUCAGCGACUUAUAUUCAGUAGCAAGGUUAACCGCAUAGGGGAGCCGUAGGGAAACCGAGUCUUAAUAGGGCGUAUAGUUGCUGGGUAUAGACCCGAAACCAGGCGAUCUAUCCAUGAGCAGGUUGAAGGUUGGGUAACACUAACUGGAGGACCGAACCCACUGUCGUUGAAAAGCCAGGGGAUGACUUGUGGAUAGGGGUGAAAGGCUAAUCAAGCCUGGUGAUAGCUGGUUCUCCCCGAAAGCUAUUUAGGUAGCGCCUCGGACGAAUACCAUAGGGGGUAGAGCACUGUUUCGGCUAGGGGGUCAUCCCGACUUACCAAACCGAUGCAAACUCCGAAUACCUAUGAGUACUAUCCGGGA